rnacentral:lncRNA from 1 species
AGGUACUAAUAUUAUCUUUACAAGAGAUUAAAAUCUCAAAUUGCAAAUGGACGUAAUUAAUCUCAACACGCGAUAAACAUGAAAAUGUAUUACAUCAACUUAAGAUCUCGAAUACAUCUCGGUACUCAACAGAACAAUGUUGAUGUACCGACAUUAAUAUGUCCAAAAUAGGAAUAAAUCACUGCUAGAACUUUUGUUAAUAGAAAUAGAAUAGGAAAAAAAAA